UAAGAGGCUUUUAUAAAAGCCAUGUUUAAACAACUUGAAUUACUAU
rfam:Physcomitrella patens subsp. patens PHYPAscaffold_287 genomic scaffold, whole genome shotgun sequence.